UGGCGGACGGGUGAGUAAUGUCUGGGAAACUGCCUGAUGGAGGGGGAUAACUACUGGAAACGGUAGCUAAUACCGCAUAACGUCGCAAGACCAAGGAGGGGGACCUUCGGGCCUCUUGCCAUCGGAUGUGCCCAGAUGGGAUUAGCUAGUAGGUGGGGUAACGGCUCACCUAGGCGACGAUCCCUAGCUGGUCUGAGAGGAUGACCAGCCACACUGGAACUGAGACACGGUCCAG
rnacentral:rRNA from 2 species